rnacentral:rRNA from 1 species
UACGGAGGAGGCAAGCGUUGUUCGGAAUUAUUGGGCUUAAAGCGCGUGUAGGCGGAAAGGCGGGUGUCCUGUGAAAGCCCUCGGCUCAACCGGGGAAUGGCAGGGCAAACUACCUUUCUUGAGGCAGGUAGAGGCAAGUGGAACUAUGGGUGGAGCGGUGAAAUGUGUAGAUAUCCAUGGGAACGCCGGUGGCGAAAGCGGCUUGCUGGGCCUGUCCUGACGCUGAGACGCGAAAGCGUAGGGAGCAAACAGG